rnacentral:rRNA from 1 species
GACGAACGCUGGCGGCGUGCUUAACACAUGCAAGUCGAACGGAAAGGCCCUGCUUUUGUGGGGUGCUCGAGUGGCGAACGGGUGAGUAACACGUGAGUAACCUGCCCUUGACUUUGGGAUAACUUCAGGAAACUGGGGCUAAUACCGGAUAGGAGCUCCUGCUGCAUGGUGGGGGUUGGAAAGUUUCGGCGGUUGGGGAUGGACUCGCGGCUUAUCAGCUUGUUGGUGGGGUAGUGGCUUACCAAGGCUUUGACGGGUAGCCGGCCUGAGAGGGUGACCGGCCACAUUGGGACUGAGAUACGGCCCAGACUCCUACGGGAGGCAGCAGUGGGGAAUAUUGCACAAUGGGCGGAAGCCUGAUGCAGCAACGCCGCGUGCGGGAUGACGGCCUUCGGGUUGUAAACCGCUUUCGCCUGUGACGAAGCGUGAGUGACGGUAAUGGGUAAAGAAGCACCGGCUCCCUACGUC